GGGGUUGUGCCGCAGGCGCGGCGCCCCGGCUACGGUCCGGGGCGGGGAGCGGUCACCCGCUCCGCGCGGGUCUGUCGCU
rnacentral:tRNA from 1 species